AUUAAUUUGGAAUAAAUAAAAUAUUUUUUUUAAGAACAUGAAUGAUUUACAGAAGUGGACUUGUUUCUAAAUAAGCUGAAACAUAUAUAAAGAGAAGAAUCAUGAAUUGGCAAAUCAUUAGCUAACUCAAAUAAGAGGUUUAGUUGAGUCUCAAACUUAAUUAAAGCACAUCAACAGCAACAACAACUCUACUCCAUUCUCAAUCACACUUACUUAAUCCUACAAUGCUGCAUUAUGUAAACCCAUUAAUCCCAUCCAUCAUUAAACAUCAGACACAACACACAAACACAC
rnacentral:lncRNA from 1 species